rnacentral:lncRNA from 1 species
AUGGCCAAGUACCUGACCCAGAUCAUUGUGAUAGGUGUACAGAAUCUUUGCCAGCACCCUGAGGCAGGAGUUUGCUGCAAGCCAGGCAGCUGCUGAUGCUCGUGGUCGUGCUGGAUACCAGUCUGAAGCUGCAUCCAAUCUCUCUGGCCUCAGCUUCCAGGAAGCCCAGCAGAUUCUCAACAUCGCCAAGCUGAGCCCCGAGGAGGUCCAGAAGAGUUAUAAACACCUAUUUAAGGCAAAGGGUAAGUCUGUGGGUGGCUCUUUUUACCUGCAGUCAAAGGUUGUCCAUACAAUGGAAAGCCUUCCUGAGGAACUCUGAAUUCAAGCCCAGGAAAACAGAGAGAAAGGGCAAAUACUCAAAAUGUGA